CCUACGGGAGGCAGCAGUGAGGAAUAUUGGGCAAUGGGCUUACGCCUGAACCAGCCAAGUCGCGUGAGGGAAGACUGCCCUAUGGUUUGUAAACCUCUUUUGUCAGGGAGCAACGCCGGCUACGUGUAGCCGGACUGAGAGUACCUGCAGAAAAAGCAUCGGCCAACUCCGUGCCAGCAGCCGCGGUAAUACGGAGGAUGUGAGCGUUAUCCGGAUUUAUUGGGUGUAAAGGGUGCGUAGGUGGAUUGUUAAGUCAGUUGUGAAAGUUUGCGGCUCAACCGUGUAAUUGCAGUUGACACUGGCAGUCUGGAGUGCAGGAGAGGUAGGCGGAAUUCGUGGUGUAGCGGUGAAAUGCGUAGAUAUCAGGAAGAACACCGAUUGCGAAGGCAGCUCACUGGACUGCAACUGACGCUGAGGCUCGAAAGUGUGGGUAUCAAACAGGAUUAGAUACCCUUGUAGUC
rnacentral:rRNA from 1 species